GAAACUAACCAGGAUUGUCUCAGUAGCGGCGAGUGAAGAGACAUCAGCCCAGAUUUAGAAUUGUAAUCUCGGAAGCAAUUCCGAGCUCGACGAAUGGCAUAACUUACCUGGGACGGUAGGCCAGAGAAGGUAACAGCCCUGUGAUGCCAGGACCGAGCCGUGAAUGCGUGGAGAGUCGGGUUGUUUGGGAAUGCAGCCCUAAGCGGGAGAUAGACAUCUUCUAAGGCUAAAUACCGGUGGGAGACCGAUAGCGCACAAGUACUGCGAAGGAAAGAUGAAAAGAACUUUGGAAAGAGGGUUAAAAGACGUGAAAUCGUUGAAGUGGAACUGAUCGCAGCCCGUCCAGGCUAUGUCUCCGUGCUUAGCUCUCAGGACCCCCGGACUCAAAUCCCAAGUCUCAUGAGUUAAGUACUGGCAUAGCACGUCCCCGCAUCAGUUCUAGUGCUGCUAAUCAAACGCUUCAAGUUAGGUUGCGUCUGGAUCAGCACUGGGACUGAGGAAGAUGCGAGGAAAGCGACUGUGAUCGACCCGUCUUGAAACACGGACCAAGGAGUCUAACUGUCGUGCGAGUGGGAGGGUGUCAAACCCGAACGCGUACCGAAAGGGAGUAUAAGGUGCAAGGACAACCGCAGCACCAGCGAGCGAGAGCUCAGCAAGAGCACGAGGGUUAGGACCCGAAAGAUGGUGAACUAUGCCCGAGUAGGGUGAAGCCAGGGGAAACUCUGGUGGAGGCUCGAAGCGUUACUGACGUGCAAAUCGUUCGUCGAACUUGGGUGUAGGGGCGAAAGACUAAUCGAACCAUCUAGUAGCUGGUUCCCUCUGAAAUUUCUCUCAGGAUAGCGGGGACAGAACAGUUUUAUCAGGUAAAGCGAAUGAUUAGAGUCCUCGGGGGCCAGAGGCCCUUGAACUAUUCUCAAACUUUCAAUUGGUAAGAGCCCAUGGGUUGCUUAACUGAACCCAGGGGAACAAUGUCUGUCCUCAGUGGGCCAUUUUUGGUAAGCAGAACUGGCGAUGAGGGAUGAACCUAACGUCGGGCUAAGGUGCCCAAUUCCACGCUCAUGAGACA
rnacentral:rRNA from 1 species